rnacentral:rRNA from 1 species
UACAGAGGUCUCGAGCGUUGUUCGGAUUCAUUGGGCGUAAAGGGUGCGUAGGUGGCGCGCUAAGUCAGGUGUGAAAUUUCGGAGCUUAACUCCGAAACUGCAUUUGAUACUGGCGUGCUUGAGGACUGGAGAGGAGACUGGAAUUCAUGGUGUAGCAGUGAAAUGCGUAGAGAUCAUGAGGAAGACCAGUGGCGAAGGCGGGUCUCUGGACAGUUCCGUGACGCUGAGGCGACGGAAGGCCAGGGGAGCAAACGGG